rnacentral:rRNA from 1 species
UACGUAGGGUACAAGCAUUAAUCGGAAUUAUUGGGCGUAAAGGGCGCGUAGGCGGAUAUAUAAGUCAGGUGUGAAAUACCAAAGCUCAACUUUGGUGCUGCAUUUGAAACUAUAAAUCUAGAGGAUUGACGGAGAAAGCGGAAUUCCACGUGUAGCGGUGAAAUGCGUAGAUACGUGGAGGAACACCAGUGGCGAAAGCGGCUUUCUAGUUUUUAUCUGACGCUGAGGCGCGAGAGCAAGGGGAGCAAACAGG